CUCUUCUUUCAAAUUCAAGCUCAGAAAGUUAAUGUAAAUGUCCCAGGCGUCACUCAAUGUUCAAAAAUGCAAUAUAAAAAUGUUGCAGGAUGGAAACAAGAUGGUGGUUGCCUUUACCGAAGAAAGUUCAGGCCGUACACUAAACCACAACUCCACAGCACGAGAGAAAUCAGUCCAAUAAAUCUAACAGCAGUUCCGUGCACAUGUCCCACGAAGCCAGAGGAACCACUGAGAAUUUCCGGAUUCUCAGGGCGCUAUCUGGAUACGUAUCUUUGAAAAACAUCUGGUAAGAGACCCAAUACACUCUUGUUUUUCACUGCAGCGAACUCGAAUGUCUCUCAUGGCCGUCUCAGCUCCGUUUCGUAAGAAGCAGAGGCAAUUACAUUUUCUGCACUCCUCUCUCUACAUUACCGCUUCUCUUUUUUCCAGCUCCCGAACAGUUUAACCAAUCCUGACCUUCAACAGCAGGCUUAUUCUCCAAUGCCUCCACAGUUGGAAACCUCAACCAGAUUCCCUAUUGGCAAGAGAUGAUCUCUAUGGAGCACUUUCACCCCGCCUUUCCCUGUUUCAGUUAGGACUUGGUAGACAGGCAGAUUUGGAAGCUUUCGUUUGACAAUGUAUGGGACAGGACUCCACUUUGGUUGCAGUUUAUGUUUUCCUUCGAUACCCAGGUUCUUGAUUAACACACGAUCUCCCGAGUCCAGAGAUUCGAAAACAACUCUUUUGUCAUAGGACCUUUUGUUACGCUGGUGAACUUUGUCAGCCUCUUCAGCAGCUAACCAGUUUCAAAAUCAGCUCUAAUGACUUCAGCUCUAACCUUGUUGGAUAAGCAUAAGCUUCAGGAAUAGAUUCAGUUGGGGCACCUAGCUGUUCUACACACCGCUGACUUGCCUCUGUGGACAGGCGAGGGCAAACUCUCUGACAUAUGGUUUUCACUCCAGGUGCAGGCCGGAAUUGAAUGCUGAUCUCAUACGUUGCCAAUGCUGCUAACCACCUGUGACCUGUGAUGUUCAAAUUAGCAGAAUUUAAGACAUAUGACAUGAUAGAGAAGUCUAAAGCAAGAGACAUCCGCAUAGUCACUGAUGUAGUAAAUCUCAGAACCGUGGACUUACAUUCCAAACAGGAGCCAAUGGUUAGCUGCUUUCCACUGUCAAUCACCAGCAUCUGACUGACCCUCGGAGCAUAUAGGAAAACAGGUAGGCGAGCU